UGCCUGUCCCAGACCCUUCUGGAUGUCCUAUCCCUUAAUUUUCUCUGUCUGGAAAACAGGACUGGGGUAAGCUGUAGCUGUCUUGCCUGCUCUCUCCUGCCUUUGUGGGUAUCAGGAGCCCUUUCAGAGGGGCAAGAAACUGCCAGAUGACCAGCCCCUAAGUCAAGCACAGGUAUACAUACCCCUAUUGAAGGGAGGGAGAGCAUCAGCCCCCCCCCCGAUUGCCUGAAGACCUGUAAACUGCUCCACACCACCUGCUGUUGCUGCUAACCCAAAGGCUACAAGUGGCUUGCAGGGACUGUGUUCCUGCUGCAGUGGUUGCCCACAGGUUGAACUGGGUGGGAAACUCCAGUAGUGUUUCCAAGUGCCAGAAUAUGAGUCAUGAAGCCAGUGUUUCUAGCUUAUUUUUAUUUCCUGAUUAUCUGCAGGGUUUCAGGCUCCUGCACAGCUGACAGAGCCUUUCCUUUCGCCCCUUUUCCUCGUGCUUCUAUUUGUCUCCCUAUUUUUAGCCUGUCUGUGGCAUUCUUCACACAAUGCCUGUGUGCACCGCUUUGAUCAAAGCUGCUGACAAUGAUGGCAACGUGACCUUGAAGCCGGCAGCCAGCUCGCUGCUGCUUCCAACCCCGACUGCGCUGGAGCAACUGGAGCAUCGGAGACGAUGAGAGGACACCAGCAUCCCUGGCCACCACUGCGCAUCCUGGCACCAGCACCUUGUCAUGAUUCCCAAGACAGCAAGGAGGUGCUGAUGUGAGCAGGUACAGUGUCCCCUAGGAGCAGGGCAGAAGAGCGUGUCGGGGAUGCAGCAUAUGGAGCCCUUGAGCAGGAUCACAGUCAGCAGCACCACAGAGGGCAGCCUGGCUCGCAGGUCAGGGAGCAGAGAAGGACCACUGUAGGAAGCUGGAGCCACCAGCACUAGGGACAUAAGGCUGUAGCUGUUCUGCCUGUCAGCUCUAUCCCAGUGGCUCUUCUUGGCUGGAGUCACAAUUUGCACCAUUUUUGCUGAGCUCUAGCUAUGGAGAGCAGCUGUUCCAGGCAGAGGGAUGCUGAGGAGGGAGGACUGGGUUUGUUCCUUGGAGCAGAUUGGGAUGCUGCAGGUGAGGAUGCGGUACAUCUGCCCUCAGGUAAGGAGUUGCACAUGGAGCAAGGUGGGGAGCUGAUGCUCCAUGAUUCGAUGUACCUGAAGACAGUCACGUGCAAGAGGAAAAGAAAACAAGAAGAGAGAUGAAUAGCUUUAAAGCAAAGAAAGUGUCAUUUUUGAGGUAAUUAAUUACUAAUUAUACACACACAGAAUUGUCUGUCAUUAACAUUACUUGGGGUUUCAGUACGUUGUGGUUUUAAUUAAACAAAUCCUUAGAUAUUUUUUCUCCUUCUUUGUAGAACAAAUUCAUUUUUUUUUAUUGGUGCCAAAGAAUAAAUUGUGUAAUUAGUGACUAUUACUUUGUCGCUUCUGGAAGGUUUAUUUCCAGGUUGUUUGUAUGC